CCUUUCCAAUCAAGUGUACUGAAGCAGGCCAACCAGAAGAAACUGCAGUUUGUAAAUUAGCUUGCUCCUCCUCCGUAAGUGCAGAUAUAUAGCUUCAUAAUGCAACAGACUCAAAGAGGCCAAGCUAGCUAGGGUUGCCACAACUGCGCGGAAAACUCUUUAAAGCAGAGAGACGAAGUCAGCGAAGAAGGGUACCUGAAAACGGGCCAUAGCAUCGGCGGCAAUGGUGGUGUAGGCGCUGCCCAUGUGGGGAGGGGCAUUGACGUAAUACAGCGGAGUUGUGAUGACGAAAGGGUCUUUGUUCGCCGCCUCGCCGACAGGAAGACUCCUGCUUUUGCCGCUGCAAGUGCAAUAGUACAGAGAGAGGGCUCCUCUGGACUGAUGAGAUGAGAACAAGUUGGUGCGGAAGUGGAGUCGAUUCUUGAGAUUGUGGGCUCCUUUGGAAUACAGAGAAGAGGAUGAGGAUGAUGAUGAUGAUGAUAAGAACCAGAGGCUGUUUUGGAUGGAGACAUGGGCUCGACCCGCCAUUGCUUCUUCUUCCUGCUCCCCCUGGCUAUGAGGGAGAAGGAGAAGAGAGGUAGGAACUUCAAGAGGAUAGAAAGCUUCAACCUUCUUGGACCUGGCUGUUCUAUGUAUCGCUUCUCCUUCCGUACGGCAAACAAGCUAAGAAGGUGAGUAUGAAGGCUUCAUGAAGAAAGGAAAUACAAUACAGUGAACAAACUUAACAUAAGCAUUCAAAUAAAGGUGAGAAGGUUCAAGUGUUGCAGGCUUGCUGGCCGGUGGAAUUUUCAAAUUGUUAGUAACUUGUUUGAGAUUGUUUUUACUAUAAGCUUAUUAUUGUUACUCGCAUGUUAUGAGGAGAUUGUAUUUGUUAACUGUGUGCUAGUGGAUCU